GUCUCAGGGGUGCAAUGGGUAACACGUGAUCCUCUGGAAGGAUUAAUCGCGAGUUCGAAUCUGGCCUGAGGUG
rnacentral:tRNA from 1 species